rnacentral:tRNA from 1 species
GCCCGGAUAGUAUAACCAUUACAUUGGUCUUGUAAGCCAAAAAUGAAGUAUCACCACUUCUCCGGACA